rnacentral:rRNA from 1 species
AAUCAACGCUGGCGGCGUGCCUCAGACAUGCAAGUCGAACGCGAAAGUCUCCUUCGGGGGACAAGUAGAGUGGCGCACGGGUGAGUAACACGUAGGUAAUCUACCUUCGGAUGGGGAAUAACAACCGGAAACGGUUGCUAAUACCGCAUAAUGCAGCGGCACCUAAUGGUGACAGUUGUUAAAGGAGUAAUUCGCCUGGGGAGGAGCUUGCGGCAGAUUAGCUAGUUGGU